CAUUCUAAUAAUGUAAAAUUGCUUUUUCAUGUCUCUUCCGGAACUUCUAGAUCUCUUUGGAUAAAUGGCUUCAUAGAAAAUGUGAACGAAAAAAUGUGACCUCAAUGAUCUGGAAGUGAACAGUGCUCAGGAAAUAUCGCCAUGCCAUGACCCCAUCAGUCUACACACUUUGACAUUUAUCAGUGGAUACGUGAAAGGGAUGAGAAGGCCUAGUAAAGUGAAGCAAUUUAUGCAGUUCCUUUCCUUGUUAAACUAGCACAGGAGGGAAGCAGCCAGCCUAUUCAAUGAAAAGAUAAAGAUUAUGAAGACCUUUAUGAUGAUCCACUUCCACCUACUGAAUAGUAAGUAUAUUUUCUCUCCCAUGUGAUGUUCUUAGUAACAUUUUCUUUACU